rnacentral:lncRNA from 1 species
GAACACGGACACCAGAGCCCCUGCCUCCCACACGCACGCACACGCGGCUGUAGCCCUCAGAUGCUCUCAGGAGCUGGGUCUUCUGGGCACUGGUUCAGAGGCCCUUGCACCCCACAUUUAGAAUUUAGGCAUUGGCCCCGCUGCUUCCACAUCACCUGAGCAUCCUAUUGGACUUAGCUGUUUCAGAGGAGUGGACUCUGUUCUCCUUUCCUGCCUCCUCACCUGAGCCUGGCCACCCACUGGGAGCUGGCUUCACACCACAGGGGCAGGAUGAAAAGGAGGUGGGAGCUGUCUCUGGAGACAGGCUUGGCCAACACUCAGAGAAGUGCUCUCCCCUCCCCUCUACCUCCCCAACCCAUCCUGCUGCCUUUUCCUGAGGAUGGAAACUAGAGGCCUGGAGAGGGAGGUCGUGAGCUCUGGGUGGGUCCUCUUGGGAGAACAGCAGUGUGUCACACGCACACAUGCACCCAUCACACACAUGCACCCAUCACACACACACACAAAGAUUAUAAAAGAUUUUCAAUACAGUAAAGCAUAAAGAAAAUGAAAAUGACUGGUAAUAUGGCAGCACAGAUAAUCCCAGUGGCAUUGUAAAAAUAAAGUUAAUGCAGGCACCACAUUUAGAAAAUUCAAACAGUCCCGAAAGAUUACAAAAUGAAAACUAAAACCUUCUUUUCAUCUCAGCCCCUCUCCCCGGAGAUGAUCACUCUUUGCAUUUCCUUCCUGAAUACUUUGGGAGACUGGCUUUUACUGAUAAAAGAGAAUCACUCUGCCCACUGUUUCAUACCCUGCCGGUUUUCCACCUAUAGCACAUCUCUGCAGAUCUUUCUAUGUCAACAUGGCCUAGUCUGCGGCCUUCUUUUUAAUGGCUGUGCUUCUUUCCAUUGUCUAAUUGCAUUCUCUGUCAAUGUCUAUUUCCAGUUUCUUUGGUCCUACAGUGUCCUAUCAGGCAGCUCCUCGGUCUUCCUGAAUGUGCCAUGGAAAUGUGAUCUCCAUAGCAACCAGCAAGGACAACUGAGGCCCAGAAGGUACCACAACAAUUUGUUGGAGGCUGCUGACCUGCCUACAUCACAUUUAAUCCCCCUGGGAUAUAGGUGCAUCACAGGAAUAAGAAGAGGGGAAUGCUUGAAUCACCACCCUAGAGGAAUGAGAUCUGGAAAGAAAAAUUAA